rnacentral:rRNA from 1 species
AUUGAACGCUGGCGGCAGGCCUAACACAUGCAAGUCGAACGAGUGGCGGACGGGUGAGUAAUGUCUGGGAAACUGCCUGAUGGAGGGGGAUAACUACUGGAAACGGUAGCUAAUACCGCAUACCAUCAGAUGUGCCCAGAUGGGAUUAGUGGGUGGGGGGGGUAACGGCUCACCAAGGCGAAGAUCCCUAGAUGGUCUGAGAGGAUGAACGGCCACACUGGAACGUGGACCCGGUCCAGACUCCUACGGGGGGCAGCAGUGGGGAAUAUUGCACAAUGGGCGCAAGCCUGAUGCAGCCAUGCCGCGUGUAUGAAGAAGGCUUUCGGGUUGUAAAGUACUUUCAGCGGGGAGGCGUUACCCGCAGAAGAAGCACCGGCUAACUCCGUGCCAGCAGCCGCGGUAAUUC